UCCCUGUAAGAACCUCUUGGUGUCGCUGGAGAUUCAGUGAGGUUCAAACUUUGGGCGAAAUGACCAACGAAGAAGAGCGCACACUGUUUUCGUUGGAGAAAGCUAAAGCUAACAAAAGCAGCUAAUUCGUUUAACUCUUCUUUAUAGUGAAUUACACAACGAACGAAUGAUUGUUAUUAUUUGAUUUAAUAAUUACUCAUUUUGUUUGUAUGUGUAAUUGUAUGAAGAUACACAGUGCAGGUUUUAUGUUAUUUCAAAUUCUUGCUACAAAACUGCGUAAAGCUAACAGACUAGCUUAGCAUUGUUGUUUUAAGACGAGGGUUAAAAUUCGUGACGCAGUGAAGAGAUCUUCAGGAUGGUGUGUGAGCUCCUACUCUCCUCAGUCUGGCUGCUGUUUGUAGUCUUCUGGGUGGAGACCAUCAGUGUGUGGCUGUUCCUCUGUCUCUUCUACCAGGACAGAGCCUUCUAUCACUGGGGAGACGGGGUGAUUGCUGAUGAUCCGGGUCAGAUGCUGUACAUGCUAAGCAGGUCGGAUCGUUCCAUCCACACACAGACCUGAGCGUGAAGCCUCCUCACCUGGGAAUGCCAGUUAACACGACUGGGGAGGAACGUGGCUUCCCAACCGACUGCUUCCCAUCUUUCACCUGUCUGCGCCCGGCGUGCCACAUCUACAGACGGAGCGUCAGCACCGAGCUCUCGGUCGGACGCAGAUUCUGUGUUGGUUAUAAAGGGAACUGUGUUUUUUUUCUAUUUUUGUCUCUUUGCAAAGCAGGGUGGGGUGAUCACCUCCGAGGUCUUAGAACGGCAGCAGGUAGAAACGAAGAUGAACGUCUGUAAUCUGUCAUUUUCGAUAUUCUGUUCUCGCUAAAUUGCUGCUCGUGUUUUUUUAUUUGCUUUGAUAAACUGAACAACAGGGUAUAAGCAGCUCCACCUUAAAAUCUCAUCUUUAGGACAUGCGUCUAUGCUGCUCUUAUGGUAGAAGUAAUAGACAGAUUUUGCCUAUUAAGGUAGAAGAGACGGAGGUUUUGUUUUGUUUGAUUUUUAACCGGAUGUGCCACAACAUGGAACUGAUGUUACAGAAUCAGUUUAACUAUAAAGAUGUCACCUGAGAUGAAUGAUAAACAGGCGCGUAUCGUAUCGUACAGAGAUUACAUUCUGCUAUCAGAGAUAGUCCAUGUGAUUGUAUGUGUUAUUUCAGACUUUAAAGGUGCAGUCAGCAAUUUUGUCGAACUUCAAAUCGGACCAACGUCACCCCCAAAGCCGUGCUUUCAAUACACAGGCCACACUGAGGUGUACCGGGAGCGUAUAACCCUGAUUGUUAGAUAUUAGUGUUUAUUUUCUCAACCGUUUGUGUUAUGAAAAGUUGUUUUCUAUCCACUAUUCAAACAAAAAUGUCAGUAGGAAUAUUAGAGUCUCAGUGAGGCUGAUUAUGAUCUUUACAGUGAGAUGAGUGAUCUCAAAAAGUACAUUAGAAUUUUUGAGGCUUGUUAGGUCUUUAACAUGAACGUACGAAGCCAAACUUUGCUCUCCGGGGUAGAGCUAUAGGGUGGGGAAACCAGCGUGUACCAUGAGGACACUGGAGUGCAACCUGUGAGAGACAUUAAACAUUCUGACUGCACCUUUAAUUAUCUGUUUUUUAAGAUAAAGUAAAAUGAACUUCAAGACAAGUUUAUAUUAAAUGUUUAAACCUGCCAGUUUUUUCUGUGACUUUUCUAAACAGAUAAAAUGCUGUUUUGUUUUUUCCUUUUGAAUGUUCUUUGCAAAGUUUGUGCAAUCUAAACUAAGGAUCAUUUGUUUUCUAGUGGAUUUCUGUGUAUUUUCUACAUGCAAUAAAUAAUCUGAUGAA